AUUAAUAAUAAAAUAAGUUUUUUAAAUUUCAUUUAUUUUUUUUUACUCCAAGGAAAACUAAUUCCAUUUAAGCGUGUAAUGUUUUUUUUUGCGGCUAGGGAAAAAUAAAAAAAUCAAACGGUGCAGGACGCUUCGUUGCCUGCUCUUUUAAAUUCUGCUAGUGGUUGACAAGUGGAUCAUUGGCUGCUGUGCCUUGUAAUGAUGAACUAUGAAGCUCACUGGAAACCACUGUUUGCCAUUAUUCAUCAACGUUUUCCAUUACAGAUGAUAAACCCACCGACUAAAAGAGCUGAUACUGGCGCAUCUUCACGGAAGUUCUAAAGCAUGGUUAAUUGGGAUCAGUUCCAAAAAGGAUGCCUUAAGACAGUGGCCGCAAUAAGCGCCGCCAUACUACAGUUAAACUACGAACACCACUACUCUUCACCAGCAGCAACACUGCCCAAUGAGCAGCUAUGAAGUGAAGAGCGCUCAACAACAGAAUAAAAUAUCUACAUCUUAAAUUCAAAUCAAUUUUCAAAUUAAAGUAAUAACAUAAAUCGUAAAAUAAUUUAUUUCUAUUGUAGGAUUAGUGUGAAAUGUAUUCCAAGUCGUAUUGU